UAUGUGAUCGUCUCUCGCAUAUCAAUAAGCGGAGGAAAAGAAACUAACAAGGAUUCCCCUAGUAACGGCGAGUGAAGCGGGAAGAGCUCAAAUUUGAAAUCUUAAAGGGUUUCCCUUUACGAAUUGUAGUUUAAAGAAGUGUUUUCUGUUGAGGUUUUGGUAAAAGUUCUUUGGAAUAGGACAUCAUAGAGGGUGAGAAUCCCGUAUUUGACCUUUACUUUCAACUUUGUGAUACACUUUCAAAGAGUCGGAUUGUUUGGGAAUGCAGUCCAAAAUGGGUGGUAAAUUUCAUCUAAAGCUAAAUAUUGGCGAGAGUACCGAUAGCGAACAAGUACCGUGAGGGAAAGAUGAAAAGAACUUUGAAAAGAGAGUUAAACAGUACGUGAAAUUGUCAAAAGGGAAGCGUUUGACACCAGUGUUGUUUUUCUGAAAAUCAAUUAAAGAACUGUUUAUGCUAAGCUGUUUAGACUUUAUCAGCUAACUGUUUAGUUUUGAGCUUUUCUUUAAUGCACUUUUCAGUUAACAAGUCAACAUCAAUUUCUUUUGCUGUAAAAAAGCUUGAGGAAGGUGGCUUGAGAUUCGUCUUAAGUGUUUAUAGCCUCUUCGCCUAUGCAGUCGGAGAGAUUGAGGUCUGCAGCGUAGAUCCUUCGGGGCUAAAUGCAUUUGUGCUAAGUUAUAGCAUUUUAUAGACAACUUGUUGACUAUGAUUUGUCUUGUAGCUUACUCGCUUAUGUUAUUUUACCUACGCUUAGGAUGUUGAACGCGCACAGAGUCUC
rnacentral:rRNA from 1 species